CUAUCACAUGCAGUCGAACGGUAACAGGAAGCAGCUUGGUGCUUCGCUGACGAGUGGCGGACGGGUUAGUAAUGUCUGGGAAACUGCCUGAUGGAGGGGGAUAACUACUGUGAAACGGUAGCUAAUACCGCAUAACGUCGCAAGACCAAAGAGGGGGACCUUAGGGCCUCUUGCCAUCGGAUGUGCCCAGAUGGGAUUAGCUAGUAGGUGGGGUAACGGCUCACCUAGGCGACGAUCCCUAGCUGGUCUGAGAGGAUGACCAGCCACACUGGAACUGAGACACGGUCCAGACUCCUACGGGAGGCAGCAGUGGGGAAUAUUGCACAAUGGGCGCAAGCCUGAUGCAGCCAUGCCGCGUGUAUGAAGAAGGCCUUCGGGUUGUAAAGUACUUUCAGCGGGGAGGAAGGGAGUAAAGUUAAUACCUUUGCUCAUUGACGUUACCCGCAGAAGAAGCACCGGCUAACUCCGUGCCAGCAGCCGCGGUAAUACGGAGGGUGCAAGCGUUAAUCGGAAUUACUGGGCGUAAAGCGCACGCAGGCGGUUUGUUAAGUCAGAUGUGAAAUCCCCGGGCUCAACCUGGGAACUGCAUCUGAUACUGGCAAGCUUGAGUCUCGUAGAGGGGGGUAGAAUUCCAGGUGUAGCGGUGAAAUGCGUAGAGAUCUGGAGGAAUACCGGUGGCGAAGGCGGCCCCCUGGACGAAGACUGACGCUCAGGUGCGAAAGCGUGGGGAGCAAACAGGAUUAGA
rnacentral:rRNA from 1 species